CUGCAUAGUGAACAUCUUUAUACCGUCCUGUAUUUUUCAGCACUGGUGCUUUGUCCCAUCUUUUGAUAAAUAAUUUAUAUAUAUUUUUAAACCUUCCAGGGAGCCUGCUACCCCGUUCUUUCAUAAACUCAUCUAUUUCUUUGAUCUUUCGUAAAUGUUUUGAUAAAUUUGUUCUGCAUAUAAAUAGAAAGUAUCAUAUGUGCCUGUAGAUAAUGUCGAUACAUUCAUUACAAUAUAUAAUUAAUAUAAGCCUGUGCACUUUCUGUACAAAUUUACAUUUACAUAUCAUAUGCAUCAUCUCUAGCCAAGUAUACAUUCCUCAGGUGUGUGAUCGGACAGGUGUGUGAUCGGACAGGUGUGUGAUCGGACAGGUGUGUGUGAUCGGAGUGGUGUGUGAUUGGACAGGUGUGUGAUUGGACAGGUGUGUGAUUGGACAGGUGUGUGAGAUCGGACAGGUGUGUGAUCGGACAGGUGUGUGUGAUCGAACAGGUGUGUGAUUGGACAGGUGUGUGUGAUUGGACAGGUGUGUGUGAUUGGACAGGUGUGUGUGAUCGGACAG